UACGGGGGGGGCAAGCGUUGUUCGGAAUUACUGGGCGUAAAGGGCGCGUAGGCGGCCUGCUAAGUCGGAUGUGAAAUCCCUCGGCUCAACCGGGGAACUGCAUCCGAUACUGGCGGGCUUGAAUCCGGGAGAGGGAUGUGGAAUUCCAGGUGUAGCGGUGAAAUGCGCAGAUAUCAGGAAGAACACCCGUGGCGAAGGCGGCUCUCUGGGACGGUACUGACG
rnacentral:rRNA from 1 species